GCCAGACUCCUACGGGAGGCAGCAGUGGGGGAUAUUGCACAAUGGGGGGAACCCUGAUGCAGCGACGCCGCGUGGGUGAAGGAGCGUUUCGGCGCGUAAAGCCCUAUCGGCAGGGAAGAAGGAGGACGGUACCUGACUAAGAAGCCCCGGCUAACUACGUGCCAGCAGCCGCGGUAAUACGUAGGGGGCAAGCGUUAUCCGGAUUUACUGGGUGUAAAGGGGGCGCAGACGGCGGCGCAAGCCAGGAGUGAAAGCCCGGGGCCCAACCCCGGGACUGCUCUUGGAACUGCGCGGCUGGAGUGCAGGAGGGGCAGGCGGAAUUCCUGGUGUAGCGGUGAAAUGCGUAGAUAUCAGGAGGAACACCGGUGGCGAAGGCGGCCUGCUGGACGAUGACUGACGUUGAGGCUCGAAAGCGUGGGGAGCAAACAGGAUUAGAUACCCGAGUA
rnacentral:rRNA from 1 species